ACUCAAUAGAUACCCAGGUAGUCCACGCCCUAAACGAUGCAUAUUUGGUGUGGGCCAUUCAUUUGGUCUGUGCCGGAAACUAACGCGUUAAAUAUGCCGCCUGGGGAGUACAGUCGCAAGGCUGAAACUCAAAGGAAUUGACGGGGGCCCGCACAAGCGGUGGAGCAUGUGGUUUAAUUCGACGCAACGCGAAGAACCUUACCUGGGCUCGAAAUGCUUACGACCAUCUUUGGAAACAGAGACUUCCCGCAAGGGACGUGAGUAUAGGUGCUGCAUGGCUGUCGUCAGCUCGUGUCGUGAGAUGUUGGGUUAAGUCCCGCAACGAGCGCAACCCUUGUCCUGUGUUGCCAUCAUUAAGUUGGGAACUCGCAGGAGACCGCCAGGGAUAACCUGGAGGAAGGUGGGGAUGACGUCAAGUCCUCAUGGCCUUUAUGUCCAGGGCUACACACGUGCUACAAUGGACGGUACAAAGCGCUGCCAACCCGCGAGGGGGAGCCAAUCGCAAAAAACCGUUCUCAGUUCGGAUUGCAGGCU
rnacentral:rRNA from 1 species